GGCCAGAUCAAUGGCAACCCUGCCUUCCCUGAUUCUCUGAAGAUAAGCUGGUGUGGGCUUUGUUAGUGCUGGAUGGGAGACCAACUGGGAACACUGUUGGAGUGGUGU
rnacentral:rRNA from 10 species